rnacentral:tRNA from 1 species
CGGGGUGUAGCGCAGUCCGGUAGCGCGCCACGUUCGGGACGUGGAGGCCGUGGGUUCGAAUCCCGCCACCCCGA